GAUGAAGAACGUAGCGAAAUGCGAUAAGUAAUGCGAAUUGCAGAAUUUCCGUGAGUCAUCGAAUCUUUGAACGCACAUUGCGCCCACUGGUAUUCCGGUGGGCAUGCCUGUUCGAGCGUCAUUAUCCUCCCUCAAACCUCGGGUUUGGUGUUGGACCCAAGUUGUGUGAACAACUGGUCUUAAAGACAAUGACGGCGUCCGUGGGACCCUCGGUGCAACGAGCUUUUAGGAGCACGCGUCGAGUUUCACGGACCUUCCGGGCCGGUCUCCUUUACCAUUUUACAAGGUUGACCUCGGAUCAGGUAGGAAUACCCGCUGAACUUAAGCAUAUCAAUAAGCGGAGGA
rnacentral:misc_RNA from 1 species